UACGUAGGUGACCAGCGUUGUCCGGAUUUACUGGGCGUAAAGAGCGCGCAGGCGGUCGUUCAAGUCGAGUGUGAAAGCCCCCGGCUCAACUGGGGAGGGUCAUUCGAUACUGAUCGACUUGAAGGCAGGAGAGGGAAGCGGAAUUCCCGGUGUAGUGGUGAAAUGCGCAGAUAUCAGGAAGAAUAUCCGUGGCGAAGGCGGCUCUCUGGUACGGCACUGACGCUGAGACGCGAAAGCGUGGGGAGCGAACAGG
rnacentral:rRNA from 1 species